AUUGAACGCUGGCGGCAGGCUUAACACAUGCAAGUCGAGCGGAGAUGAGGUGCUUGCACCUUAUCUUAGCGGCGGACGGGUGAGUAAUGCUUAGGAAUCUGCCUAUUAGUGGGGGACAACAUUCCGAAAGGAAUGCUAAUACCGCAUACGUCCUACGGGAGAAAGCAGGGGAUCUUCGGACCUUGCGCUAAUAGAUGAGCCUAAGUCGGAUUAGCUAGUUGGUGGGGUAAAGGCCUACCAAGGCGACGAUCUGUAGCGGGUCUGAGAGGAUGAUCCGCCACACUGGGACCGAGACACGGCCCAGACUCCUACGGGAGGCAGCAGUGGGGAAUAUUGGACAAUGGGGGGAACCCUGAUCCAGCCAUGCCGCGUGUGUGAAGAAGGCCUUAUGGUUGUAAAGCACUUUAAGCGAGGAGGAGGCUACUGAGACUAAUACUCUUGGAUAGUGGACGUUACUCGCAGAAUAAGCACCGGCUAACUCUGUGCCAGCAGCCGCAGUAACAC
rnacentral:rRNA from 1 species